rnacentral:lncRNA from 1 species
GCAAUUGUAACAAACAUUUUCCCCUUUCCUGCAUAAGCCUUUAUGUUUCUUUUACAGUUUGUACACUUUUCUAUUUUGUUAAAGUUCCCUUGGUUAUAAUCGACAUUUCCUAAAUCGUGGUCUUUCAUCUUUCUUAUUCCCUUCUUUCUUCAAGCUACAUACGAUUUGUUAAUUUUUACUCCCAUCUGAUCAAUUUGGAUUUAAAGCAUAUCUUGUUCUUCCAUUGUUUCUAUUAAUGACUUUCGAAAUUGACUAUUUAAUAAUUUUUCUAUUUCCCACAACUUUUCUAGAGAAGAAACAUUAAUCCUAAGAUUCUGCACUUCCGUUGAUGCCUGGUCAGCUCCAAC